UGGGGAAUAUUGCACAAUGGGCGCAAGCCUGAUGCAGCAACGCCGCGUGAGCGAGGAAGGCUUUCGGGUCGUAAAGCUCUGUCCUUGGGGAAGAAGGAAGUGACGGUACCCAAGGAGGAAGCCCGGCUAACUACGUGCCAGCAGCCGCGGUAAUACGUAGGGGCAAGCGUUAUCCGGAAUUAUUGGGCGUAAAGAGUACGUAGGUGGUUUUGUAAGCGCGGGGUGAAAGGCAGUGGCUUAACCAUUGUUAGCCUUGCGAACUGCAAGACUUGAGUGCAGGAGAGGGAAGCGGAAUUCCUAGUGUAGCGGUGAAAUGCGUAGAUAUUAGGAGGAACACCAGUGGCGAAGGCGGCUUUCUGGACUGUAACUGACACUGAGGUACGAAAGCGUGGGGAGCAAACAGGAUUAGAUACCC
rnacentral:rRNA from 1 species